rnacentral:rRNA from 1 species
UAAUACGGGGGGAGCAAGCGUUGUUCGGAUUUACUGGGCGUAAAGGGCGCGUAGGCGGCCAGUGCAAGUCAGUUGUGAAAUCUCCGAGCUUAACUCGGAAAGGUCAACUGAUACUGCUCGGCUAGAGUGCGGAAGGGGCAACUGGAAUUCUUGGUGUAGCGGUGAAAUGCGUAGAUAUCAAGAGGAACACCUGCGGCGAAGGCGGGUUGCUGGGCCGACACUGACGCUGAGGCGCGAAAGCUAGGGGAGCGAACGGGAUUAGAUACCCCGGUAGUCCUAGCCUUAAA